rnacentral:rRNA from 1 species
UACGUAGGGGGCUAGCGUUGUCCGGAGUUACUGGGCGUAAAGGGCGCGCAGGCGGCGGUGCUGGCCCGGCGUGAAAGCCCCCGGCUCAACCGGGGAGGGUCGUCGGGGACCGCACCGCUUGAGGGCGGUAGGGGCUGGUGGAAUGCCUGGUGUAGUGGUGAAAUGCGUAGAGAUCAGGCGGAACACCCGUGGCGAAGGCGGCCAGGCUGGGCCGACCCUGACGCUGAGGCGCGAAGGCGUGGGGAGCGAACGGG